rnacentral:lncRNA from 1 species
UGUGACUUCAUCUUGAACAUAUUUUAUCAUUUAUUAUACCGUUGACAAUAUUGACAGUUCAUUUCUUUCAUGUAUUUUACACAAUGACCAAAUUCAUAUCAAUUAUUUCUAACUAUUGUUUAUAUUGACAGUAAUUAUGAAUCAAUAUGACAAAGUUUAGUUUGCAUAGCUUAGUAUACUUAUGACAAAAAUUAAUGAUAUUACCCUAAUAGAUAACCAAGUGUCAUCGGCUUGAAAAUUGUCACUGGUUUUCAUACAGUAUGAAAGGUUUUGACUAUUCCACGUGGUAAGUGUUUUGGAAAACAGGGAAAAAAGAUUGAAACUUUAAAUUGUAUAAACUAUUAA